rnacentral:rRNA from 1 species
GACGAACGCUGGCGGCGUGCUUAACACAUGCAAGUCGGACGGAAAGGCCCUGCUUUUGUGGGGUGCUCGAGUGGCGAACGGGUGAGUAACACGUGAGUAACCUGCCCUUGACUUUGGGAUAACUUCAGGAAACUGGGGCUAAUACCGGAUAGGAGCUCCUGCUGCAUGGUGGGGGUUGGAAAGUUUCGGCGGUUGGGGAUGGACUCGCGGCUUAUCAGCUUGUUGGUGGGGUAGUGGCUUACCAAGGCUUUGACGGGUAGCCGGCCUGAGAGGGUGACCGGCCACAUUGGGACUGAGAUACGGACCAGACUCCUACGGGAGGCAGCAGUGGGGAAUAUUGCACAAUGGGCGGAAGCCUGAUGCAGCAACGCCGCGUGCGGGAUGACGGCCUUCGGGUUGUAAACCGAUUUCGCAUGUGACUAAGCGUGAGUGACGGUAAUGGGUAAAGAAGCACCGGCUAACUACGUG